GACGAACGCUGGCGGCGUGCUUAACACAUGCAAGUCGAACGGAAAGGCCUCUUUCGGGGGGUACUCGAGUGGCGAACGGGUGAGUAACACGUGAGUAACCUGCCCUUGACUUUGGGAUAACUUCAGGAAACUGGGGCUAAUACCGGAUAGGAGCUCCUGCUGCAUGGUGGGGGUUGGAAAGUUUCGGCGGUUGGGGAUGGACUCGCGGCGUAUCAGCUUGUUGGUGGGGUAGUGGCUUACCAAGGCUUUGACGGGUAGCCGGCCGGAGAGGGUGACCGGCCACAUUGGGACUGAGAUACGGCCCAGACUCCUACGGGAGGCAGCAGUGGGGAAUAUUGCACAAUGGGUGGAAGCCUGAUGCAGCAACGCCGUGUGCGGGAUGACGGCCUUCGGGUUGUAAACCGCUUUCGCUCAUGACGAAGCUUUGUGUGACGGUAGUGGGUAAAGAAGCACCGGCUAACUACGUG
rnacentral:rRNA from 1 species